CCUACGGGUGGCAGCAGUGGGGGAUAUUGCACAAUGGGGGAAACCCUGAUGCAGCGACGCCGCGUGAGUGAAGAAGUAUUUCGGUAUGUAAAGCUCUAUCAGCAGGGAAGAAAAUGACAGUACCUGACCAAGAAGCCCCGGCUAACUACGUGCCAGCAGCCGCGGUAAUACGUAGGGGGCAAGCGUUAUCCGGAUUUACUGGGUGUAAAGGGAGCGUAGACGGUUAUGUAAGUCUGGAGUGAAAGCCCGGGGCCCAACCCCGGGACUGCUUUGGAAACUGUGUAACUGGAGUACAGGAGGGGCAGGCGGAAUUCCUGGUGUAGCGGUGAAAUGCGUAGAUAUCAGGAGGAACAUCGGUGGCGAAAGCGCUUUACUGGACCAUUAUUGACGCUGAGGAACGAAAGCCAGGGGAGCAAAUGGGAUUAGAUACCCUUGUAGUC
rnacentral:rRNA from 1 species